rnacentral:rRNA from 1 species
UUCUUAUAGGUGGGAUUAUAAGUAUUGUCUGCUCAAUGUUUUAUAAAUAGCUGUAUUAACACUAAGGUAGCAUAAUAAUUUGCCUCUUUAUUGGGGGCUUGAAUGAAUGGCAUAAUGGAUGAAGGAGUGUAUUUUCUUUAGGGGUUGAAUUUUAAUUUUUAGUAAAAAUGCUAGGAUAAGGUUUAGGGACGAGAAGACCCUAAAAGCUUUUUAAGUUGAUUAUUUUUUUAUGGUUGGAUUUAGGGUGUUGGGGCAACAUAAUAAGAGGAAAAUCUUAUUUUAAUAGCCAAAAUUUUUGAUUUUAUGAAAAAGUUACUUUAGGGAUAACAGCAUAAUAAAUGUUAGGUAGUUCUGAUAUCUAAUGUUGAUUGUGACCUCGAUGUUGGAUCAAUAUUUCUUUUUGGUGAAGGAGCUGAAAGAGAUAGACUGUUCGUCUAUUGAAUUAUUACG